AAUAAAUAUCAGCUAUUAUCACAAACAACACAAUAAAAAAACCCCACAACCAAAAUCCCCAAUAUUUUUCAAGUCUUACUUUUCUUUUGACCAAAAUACUUUUCUUUGAACAAUUGAAUGCUGUGUUCUGUGCAAUAGUUUUUUUUAAAAAGAAGCUGUGUACUUUUCUUAACUCUGAGGCAGUAAACCAGUACAUUACCUGAAAUUACUACAUUUAAAACUUAAAUUUUUGGGGCUGACUUCUAUUUUAUUCUAUGAAUUGGAUGGCUGCUGUGAAUUUCUGGAAGGUUAACAAGGCUUCAGAGGCACAUACACAGAGAUGCUACUUUUCUGUUCUUGCUGUUAGUAAGAGUUUGUUUAUUUCAUUUCUAGACCAGUUUUUGGCCUGGGUAAUUUGGAAUUUGGACAAUCCCUUGGCUCAUUAACAGCCUAUGCAACGGAUGAGAACUUAGCAGUGUGCUUGUCUACAACGUAAUUUUAGGUUUUAAGAUGAGAAUUUGAAUUGGGUUAUUGGAUAACUUUGUACUUGGGAUUACAUAGAUUACUGACCAGUAUUUACAUCUGUGAUCAAAUCAAUUCUAUAAACUGAAAUAUAUUUUGCUACCUUCUGCUUCAUCAGAAAUGGGUAGUGAAUAAGGGUAGAAUGAUUUAAGAUUUCAGUGCCAUUGACUUCCUCCAAGGCACUGGAGCUCUUUUAUGCACUUUAGUACUAUGGUAAUCAGAGGGCGUGAAUACUAAAUGUAAAAGCAGUUGGAGCUUCUCAGUGGCUCUUGGUGCUUAUAGAAUAGACCUCUCAUAAACAAUAUUGUAAUUAUUUAGAAAAGUGGCAUGAAAUAGAGCAAGUAGCCUACUUAGAAUGUUUACUCUGUGAGAAGCGACCUUUUCAUGGUCAUGGUGUCAGGAGGUCACAGACAAGGAAGAUGGGGAGUUCUGUACUAACACAAGGAACAACUUUACUAUGACAGUGACAGAGCACUGGAACAGGCAGCCUGGGGAGGUUGUGGGGUCUAUUCUGGAGAUAUUCAAAAUCCACCUGGAUACUUUCCUGUGCAACCUGCUGUAGGGAACCUGCUUUAGUAGAGGUCCCUUCCAAAGCUCACAGUUCAGUGACUUGGAGGAGGUUUUGGCAGUCAAUUCUGUGUUUGUGGUCUUCGAAGCGUGGAUCUUGCUAUAUAUUAAAGCAGUCAAAUGCUUUUUGAGUAGCUUCAGUCUGUUCAGAGCUUUUAUAAGAUGGAUGUUUUGCCAUUUAGUGUACUAUUGAUGUGCUUCUUUAACACCUGUAAGGAGCUGCAAUUACGUAGAUUAUAUCCAGUAGGAAACAAGUUCACUGAACCCAUUUCCAGCAGUUCUCAUGAGCAGAUUUCUACUUGGUAAGCACCACAGGCAUAUCUGAUGCUUCUUAAAGCUCUUUCAGGCUCCAGCUGUUCUGAGAACAGGGAAUUUCUGAGUUACUGUGGCUCUAGCAAUCUUCAACAGAUUUAUUUUAUAUCAACUUUUCCAGGCUGUCUUUGUGCUGUCAAAAAAAACUCAUAGACUGUAAACUGUGAGUAUAUUUUUCUCAGCAAAUGCUCAAGAAAUCUGAUGCUCUUGUAACCCAGUUUAGUACUUAGAGCUUGAGGAGCCCUGAUCCUAGUUAAAAUCAAUAAAACUGUCAUUAUAUCCAUGUCCGUCAGAUGGUCAUCUAAGAUGAUAAAUUUGUGCCACACUGUUAAGUGACAGAUGUUCCCCCUGCUAAGUCAUACAGUGCCACUUAUUCCACUUUUUAUUUUUCAUCUUACCUGACUAUAAUGGGAAAGAUAUUGCCUGUACACAGAGGGGACCUGGGACUGCAACCCUUGUUCUGAAAGUGC
rnacentral:lncRNA from 1 species